CAGUUUUUUGUUAAAGUACAGGGGAAGUACUCAUUAAAUAGCAAUUCAUUUUCCACAUCAGCCGGUUUAAAUCGUCAUACAGUAAGACCAUAUCUAAUGUCUGCUCCUGGAAGUCAUAGAUGAUGCUGGAAGCACCGACACUGUAAACCAGCCUAACUGCACCACAUGGACAAAUGCCAGGAUGGGAUCUUUCAUUGCCUGCCAUUUUUAAAAGAACGUAGCUGCGAGCCAUAAGAUUGCAUGGGUCCCAAAAUGUGAAACGUGUUUGCUCUGUCCCUGGCUUCCUAAUUGCUGCUUAGAGGUUAAUCAGAGGUUGCUAACCACCACUGUGUGAAAUACAUUUUAUGACUGUUAAUGAUACGACUGCAGACCUCUCACACCCAAAAGUGGCGCUGAGGAUAAUUGGGCUGAGUUAGAAUACAUGUUGAAAGACAAAAUACAAGCUAACAAAUCUUUUUCAGUGAGCCAUGGUUUAAACGUAUAUUGUUUGACAGUUGCAGACAGAUGUCAGUUAAAAUGUAUUUAAUGAGCACUUUUUUGAAAUCCCAGAUCUUAAGAGAUGUAUACUUCUCUUGUAUAAGACUGAAUAAACCUUUUAUCAGCUUAUUCCAUUUCUGGUUUGAGGGUUUAUUCAUGAUAUAUACACUGUAGUAAUGUUUCAUAUGUUGAAUCAACCUGCAUGCCUAUGUUCCA